rnacentral:lncRNA from 1 species
AUCCCAUGACAGCCUCUAUGGGAAAAGGUAGUUAGGUAGUCAAAAGCUAAGAAAUUAUUGAGAAGCAGGUGGUCCUGUACCACGAUAUCAGUCAUGGAUUUCAGAUGAGUUAUUAGAUUUAUUUGAAGAGGGAAAGAGCAGUUGGAUAUAGGCUUCAAGUGCCUUUUUCAUUAGACAAUAUGUGGGUUUAACUUUUUAAUUAUUUGUAAAAUCUGUGUAGUCUAGAAUAGCUUCGUUUGACUCAAAAUAAGUUUGUGUAUAGAUUUGAUGGCGUGAUUUGGACAGAAUUUGGAAUGUAACUGUGUUUUACUACCACCAGCCCCAAAAUAAUUGAGCAAGUAGUAAAAGAAGAAAAUUCUACCUGCUAAUUAAUAUAGCUUAAGCUACAAGGUAUUAAAAUUCCUUUCAUGUGCUUUUAAGGAAUCUUCUGAGAACUCUGGUGUGGAUACAUCUGAUAUAGGUGAAGAAAGGGGUGAUAUAGGCUCAGUAAGAAGAAAAUUUGAAGAAAUUGACCUCCAGGUAGAAUUUUUGGGUGUCUAAUAUAAAGUAAUGAUUUUGUGUUCAAUAGAACCUAUUAACUAUUUGAGUAGUUUGCACAUGCCUGAUGAGUUGAUACAGAAGGCUUGAUACAGUUGAUCCAG